rnacentral:rRNA from 1 species
UACAGAGGUCCCAAGCGUUGUUCGGAUUCAUCGGUGGCGUAAAGGGUGCGUAGGCGGCGCGGUAAGUCGGGUGUGAAAUCUUGGAGCUUAACUCCGAAACUGCAUUCGAUACUGCCGUGCUUGAGGACUGGAGAGGAGACUGGAAUUUACGGUGUAGCGGUGAAAUGCGUAGAUAUCGUAAGGAAGACCAGUGGCGAAGGCGGGUCUCUGGACAGUUCCUGACGCUGAGGCACGAAGGCCAGGGGAGCAAACGGG